CGGAAUUCGGAUCUUCGAAUGAAUGAUAAAACUAACAAUAUGAAACUAUAACGGUAACACUCUCCUUGACCG
rnacentral:misc_RNA from 1 species